UACGGAGGGGGCUAGCGUUGUUCGGAAUUACUGGGCGUAAAGCGCGCGUAGGCGGCUUUGUAAGUCAGGGGUGAAAUCCCGGAGCUCAACUCCGGAACUGCCUUUGAUACUGGCGAUCUUGAGUCCGGGAGAGGUGAGUGGAACUGCGAGUGUAGAGGUGAAAUUCGUAGAUAUUCGCAAGAACACCAGUGGCGAAGGCGGCUCACUGGCCCGGUACUGACGCUGAGGAGCGAAAGCGUGGGUAGCAAACAGG
rnacentral:rRNA from 1 species